UACGUAGGGUGCGAGCGUUAAUCGGAAUUACUGGGCGUAAAGCGUGCGCAGGCGGUUCGUUGUGUCGGCGGUGAAAGCCCCGGGCUCAACCUGGGAAUGGCCGUUGGGACUGCAAGGCUUGAGUGCGGCAGAGGAGACUGGAAUUCCUGGUGUAGCAGUGAAAUGCGUAGAUAUCAGGAGGAACACCGAUGGCGAAGGCAGGUCUCUGGGCCGUUACUGACGCUGAGGAGCGAAAGCGUGGGGAGCGAACAGG
rnacentral:rRNA from 1 species